GAUGAACGCUGGCGGCGUGCCUAAUACAUGCAAGUCGAGCGAACAGACGAGGAGCUUGCUCCUCUGACGUUAGCGGCGGACGGGUGAGUAACACGUGGAUAACCUACCUAUAAGACUGGGAUAACUUCGGGAAACCGGAGCUAAUACCGGAUAAUAUAUUUAACCUCAUUUUUCAAUAGUGAAAUACGUUUUUUCUUUCACUUAUAGAUGGAUCCUCGCCUCAUUAGCUAGUUGGUAAGGUAACUGCUUACCAAGGCAACUAUGCGUAGCCGACCUGAGAGGGUGAUCGGCCACACUGGAACUGAGACACGGUCCAGACUCCUACGGGAGGCAGAAGUAGGGAAUCUUAAGCAAAGGGCGAAAGCCUGAAGGAGAAAAGAAGAGUGAGUGAUGAAGGUCUUCGGAUCGUAAAACUCUGUUAUUAGGGAAGAACAAAUGUGUAAGUAACUAUGAAAGUCUUGAAGGUACCUAAUAAGAUAGCAAAGGAUAAAUAAGUG
rnacentral:rRNA from 1 species